rnacentral:rRNA from 1 species
CCUACGGGGGGCUGCAGUAAGGAAUAUUGGUCAAUGGACGAAAGUCUGAACCAGCCAUCCCGCGUGCAGGAUGAAAGCCCUAUGGGUUGUAAACUGCUUUUAGCAGAGAAGAAAAGCUUCCAUUUAUGGGGGUCUGACGGUAUCUGCAGCAUAAGCCCCGGAUAACUCCGUGCCAGCAGACGCGGUAAUACGGAGGGUGCGAGCGUUAUCCGGAAUUACGGGGUUUAAGGGGUGCGUAGGCGGCAGUGUUGAAAUCUUGUCGCUUAACGAUAAAAUUGCCAAUGAUACUGGUACUCUUGAAUUGGGUUGAGGUUAGCGGAAUGUUACAUGUAGCGGUGAAAUGCAUAGAUAUGUCAUGGAACACCAAUUGCGAAGGCAGCUAACUGGGCCUUGAUUGACGCUGAGGCACGAAAGCGUGGGUAGCGAACAGGAUUAGAUACCCUUGUAGUC